rnacentral:lncRNA from 1 species
AUUUCAUGCCAAACGGUUCUUUAGACUCUCAUCUCUUCACUGAAAAAGAUUCAGACUUUCUUGAUUGGAAAACAAGAUACCAAAUUGCACUGGGGACAGCCAGAGGUUUGGCUUAUCUUCAUGAGAAGUGCAGAGACUGCAUCAUACACUGUGACAUAAAGCCAGAGAACAUUCUGUUAGACGCUGAAUUUUGUCCCAAAGUGUCGGAUUUUGGGCUGGCAAAGCUUGUUGGGAGGGAGUUCAGCCGUGUCCUAACAACCAUGAGAGGAACAAGAGGUUACCUUGCACCUGAAUGGAUUUCAGGAGUGGCCAUAACAGCCAAAGCGGAUGUCUACAGCUAUGGAAUGAUGCUGUUUGAAUUUGUAUCAGGAAGGAGGAACUCCCACGAAUCUGAAGAUGGUAAAGUGAAGUUCUUCCC